rnacentral:rRNA from 1 species
GACGAACGCUGGCGGCGUGCUUAACACAUGCAAGUCGAACGGAAAGGCCCUGCUUUUGUGGGGUGCUCGAGUGGCGAACGGGUGAGUAACACGUGAGUAACCUGCCCUUGACUUUGGGAUAACUUCAGGAAACUGGGGCUAAUACCGGAUAGGAGCUCCUGCUGCAUGGUGGGGGUUGGAAAGUUUCGGCGGUUGGGGAUGGACUGGCGGCUUAUCAGCUUGUUGGUGGGGUAGUGGCUUACCAAGGCUUUGACGGGUAGCCGGCCUGAGAGGGUGACCGGCCACAUUGGGACUGAGAUACGGCCCAGACUCCUACGGGAGGCAGCAGUGGGGAAUAUUGCACAAUGGGCGGAAGCCUGAUGCAGAGACGCCGCGUGCGGGAUGACGGCCUUCGGGUUGUAAACCGCUUUCGCCUGUGACGAAGCGUGAGUGACGGUAAUGGGUAAAGAAGCACCGGCUAACUACGUG